rnacentral:rRNA from 1 species
UGGGCUUGACAUGCUGAAUGUAGAACAUGGAAACAUGAACGACCGGUAUCCAAUCCGGAAUCAGUAC